GAUGAACGCUGACAGAAUGCUUAACACAUGCAAGUCGAUGGGGAAGUGGUGCUUGCACCAUGGCAACCAUGGCGGACGGGUGAGUAACGCGUAAGGGACUUACCUGCAGGACUGGGAUAACAGGGGGAAACUCCUGACAAGACCGGAUAAUGUCAUGGAGCUGCAUGGCUUUAUGAUGAAAGGAGACGCCUGCGGAGAGCCUUGCGUCCUAUUAGCUAGUUGGUGAGGUAAUGGCUUACCAAGGCGAAGAUAGGUAGCCGGCCUGAGAGGGUGGACGGCCACAAGGGGACUGAGAUACGGCCCUUACUCCUACGGGAGGCAGCAGUGGGGAAUAUUGGACAAUGGGGGCAACCCUGAUCCAGCAAUUCUGUGUGCACGAAGAAGGUUUUCGGAUUGUAAAGUGCUUUCAGCAGGGAAGAAGUAAGUGACGGUACCUGCAGAAGAAGCGACGGCUAAAUACGUG
rnacentral:rRNA from 1 species